rnacentral:rRNA from 1 species
GGGCCCGCACAAGCGGUGGAGCAUGUGGUUUAAUUCGAUGAUACGCGAGGAACCUUACCAGGGCUUAAAUGUAGUUUGACCGGUCUGGAAACAGACUUUCUCUUCGGAGCAGAUUACAAGGUGCUGCAUGGUUGUCGUCAGCUCGUGCCGUGAGGUGUUAGGUUAAGUCCUGCAACGAGCGCAACCCCUAUUCUUAGUUGCCAGCGGUUCGGCCGGGGACUCUAAGAAGACUGCCAGCGCAAGCUGAGAGGAAGGUGGGGAUGACGUCAAAUCAUCACGGCCCUUACGUCCUGGGCUACACACGUGCUACAAUGGUAGAGACAGAGGGCAGCCACCUGGUGACAGGGAGCGAAUCCCAUAAAGCCAGUCUCAGUUCGGAUUGGAGUCUGCAACUCGACUCCAUG